AACGAACGCUGGCGGCGUGCCUAAUACAUGCAAGUCGAGCGGGGUGAUGGUGCUUGCACUAUCACUUAGCGGCGGACGGGUGAGUAAUGCUUAGGAAUCUGCCUAUUAGUGGGGGACAACAUCUCGAAAGGGAUGCUAAUACCGCAUACGUCCUACGGGAGAAAGCAGGGGAUCACUUGUGACCUUGCGCUAAUAGAUGAGCCUAAGUCGGAUUAGCUAGUUGGUGGGGUAAAGGCCUACCAAGGCGACGAUCUGUAGCGGGUCUGAGAGGAUGAUCCGCCACACUGGGACUGAGACACGGCCCAGACUCCUACGGGAGGCAGCAGUGGGGAAUAUUGGACAAUGGGGGGAACCCUGAUCCAGCCAUGCCGCGUGUGUGAAGAAGGCCUUAUGGUUGUAAAGCACUUUAAGCGAGGAGGAGGCUCUUUUGGUUAAUACCCAAGAUGAGUGGACGUUACUCGCAGAAUAAGCACCGGCUAACUCUGUGCCAGCAGCCGCGGUAACAC
rnacentral:rRNA from 1 species